AAGAUCCAGCACCAAGGAAAUGUAAAGCUGUGCGCUCCUUUAUUACAGUGGUAAAAUUCAUGCAGCAAAUCAACAACAUCCAGUGACAUCCAUCUGUUAAGUCAACGCGUUUCAAACAAAACUAACAUAACAGUUUUGUUUGAAACGCUUUGGAUGUCACUGGAUGUUGUUGAUUUGCUGCAUGAAUUUUACCACUGU